rnacentral:tRNA from 1 species
AUUACUUUGACAGAUAAGUGUAUUAAAUUUAGAAUUUAAAAAUAAACUAAUAGUUUAAGUAAUA